UAUUGCACACUGGGCGAAAGCCUGAUGCAGCGACGCCGCGUGAGGGAAGACGGUCUUCGGAUUGUAAACCUCUGUCUUUGGGGAAGAAAUCAGACGGUACCCAAAGAGGUAGCUCCGGCUACCUACGUUCCAGCAGCCGCGGUAAUACGUAGGGUGCGAGCGUUGUCCGGAAUUACUGGGUGUAAAGGGAGCGUAGGCGGGCUUGUAAGUUGGAUGUCUAAUCCACCGGCUCAACCGGUGAUCGCGUUCAAAACUGCAGGUCUUGAGUGAAGUAGAGGCAGGCGGAAUUCCUAGUGUAGCGGUGAAAUGCGUAGAUAUUAGGAGGAACACCAGUGGCGAAGGCGGCCUGCUGGGCUUUAACUGACGCUGAGGCUCGAAAGCGUGGGGAGCAAACAGG
rnacentral:rRNA from 1 species